GAUUACACAGCUGGACAGGAAAACUGAAUAGCUUCCCCCAGGCCUGCUCACCAUGAUUUUGCUUUACACUUGCUGCCCAGCCAGUAGUUUGUGGUAGAGGAUCCAGAGUUUGCUCCGAUGCCAGAGCAUCUCAUGGGGUCAAAUGGUGUUACCCAGCUUGUUUUCUCCCUCACCCCCAACAACUCUACCCAUGAUCUUCUGGAAGAUCCUGGCACAUUAAGGGCUUCUUUCCUUCUAGGGCUGGGUUCCUGCCUCCACUGUGCACAUGGAAGAAUCAUGUCUGGUCCCCAGGAUUCAGAUCCCUCAAGAUCUUCUUGUGUCUUGAAUGAAAACCUAAGAUCCAUGAUCAUCCACAUCUUUAUGCUGCUAAGCAAACCUAUUCAGCUGGCAGCCAAUGGGAAUCCCAUGAAGGUGGAUUGCACAGAAUACAAAGGUUCCCUUUUGACUGUGGCCCAUUUGUGCAUGUUCUGCAUGGUGUUUUGAGGCAAGAAUUAUUCCUUCCCACCCAGGAACUUUCACUUCCCAUGUGCAGAUUCCUGAAUCUAGGGAAAGCCCUCUCCUAUGAUAUAACAAGUUGAAAAAUUGGUCCAAGUCUAGCCAGACUCUAGUCAACCUGGAAUUUGGUUUCAGCUAUGGAACUGAACAGGAUCCCAAAUGAACAAAUGUUUUGGAUGCUACGAAAAAGACAAAUUUCCAGCUUUAUAAACUAUGUGAAAUAUACUGUUUAGAAUGUUAAAUACUAAGCCUGACAUCUUGAACAGAGUUUGUCUAUAGGGAGUCAACAGAAUAAAUGUGCACGCAUUCAGAAAAAUAAUGAGGACGCAUUUGGCUAUUCAGAAGUGGCACAGGUUGUCUUCUUUGGCACCACAAUUUGACAUCCAAUUUUUAUGAUAUAUUUUGUUGGUUCAUUGUAACUGAAGUUCCUUGUUUUACCUAGAUAAUGUAAUUUCCACUUGCUAUUUCUAGCUUGUCAACAGGAAAAAUCUAUCAUGUGAUCUUUAUUCUGUAUCAUGGGAAAUAACUAGAA